ACAGGACUCAGUUCUGACCAAGGAGCUGAGAUGUGAUGGCUGGAGACUCAACACCAUUCUGGACGGGUCCAAUUGCAGGAACCUUCCAUGGCUCCCUGAACAAAACAUCCCUCAUGUCCUGCCUCCAUGCCUUUGUCUUGUGGUCCAGCAGACAGUGACACAUCUGUAGAGG
ensembl:lncRNA BCAR3-AS1 BCAR3 antisense RNA 1